AAAAUAACUAUAACAUCAUAAUAAACAAUCUUGAUUAGCUGAGAAUCAUUAGCCGGUCGAGGAAGUGCGCGUUUAUGGAUGCCGAAAUAUAAUUUCAUAAUUUCUGAAAACACCGGACCCAAAUAAUCGCGGAGCAUCGGUAAAACAAGUUGAGCAGCCCUGCUAUUUAGCGUGGCCGAGGAUGGUAGAGGCAUAGAUCAGACUGGAGUCACAAUCAAUUGACUAGUCAACAACUAAAUGCCAGUGAGACUAAACUUAGUGGAAGAUAUGACUAGAGGAGUGGCUCUCAAACUCAAAAAGAGCUUAAAGCUAAUUAAAAAUUAAAUCAUGUGUUAGAUUCGAUCUUGUUCGCCUUAUUUUGGAUAUUUACGUUUCAUCAAGGUAUUUUCAACCUGUUUUGUAAUUAAUUAAACAUAUUUUUGUCUUACUAUCUGUUAUUUGAGUUUAUUAUUAGCAAGUUAUUUUUGAGGUGGGACGUGAGACAAAUUAUAAAAGGGGUCGCGACUUAAAAAGUUCAGAGAACCACUGGAGUGGAGACCAUGACGGUGACCUGGGGCUAAGGAAUCACACCCAACAUUGGGGCAGUGAGUAUAUGUCCCCACUUGCCCCCUUUUUUCAUACAUGAUAAGCUAAGCCCUACUCUUACUCAAAAAUCUUUAACAAUGCAUCAGUAUAGGAUUCCAAGUAAUAAUACUGGGUCGAAGUAUUGGCCAAGAAGAUUCAAAUAAAUAAUAAUCAAAUAACUUGCUUUACAAUAAGCAAAAACAUAAUAGGACACAAAAUGGAUGUCGGAGUUUGGACAAAUUUAGACUAUAAAUGGGUGAGAACAUAAUACUAGUAGUAAUCUGUGGGUCUCGGGUUUAUACCAAAGGUGACAGGCCAUUGGGACAUACAAUGGAUGCCGAUGUUGGGACAAAUUUAGACUAAAAAUGGGUGAGAACAUAAGAGUAGCAGGAAUCUGUGAGUCUCGGGUUUAUAACUUUAUACCAGAGGUGAAAGAUAACUGGGACGCAAAAUGGAUGUAGAUGUUUGGGCAAAUUUAGACUAAAAAAGAGUUUCAACAUAAUAGUAGUAAUCUGUGGGUCUCGGCUUUACACCAGAUUUGAAAGAUAACUGGGACGCAAAAUGGAUGCCAAUGUUUGGACAAAAAAUGGGUAAGACUAUAACAGUAGCAGGAAUCUGCUGGGUGUUGGGCUUACACUAGAGGCAAAAGACUAGCACUGGGAUAUGUGUGGGCAGGCUCAACAAAUGUGAGAAGCACAGGCUCAAACAUGAGGGACUCCUUGCAACACAACUUAAAUGUAAGAGGUGUAAAACAAGACAAUACUUCUAUCCUUUUAUUGAGAAAAUUAACUUAAACUUAGGUAUGGUAUGGAUCACAGUUACUCCCAAGUUUUAUGAAAUAAUGCAAAAUUUGGUAAAAUCGAAAUCAUUAUCAAUAUCCUAGUCAAUUUGCCUCAAAACUAAAGAGUCAACAUAAAAACACUUCUACGCGAUAUUACCAAAAUAUUUUUUCCCCCUAUGGCCAGAAAAAGUAUGAGUAUACAGUGUUUCUCGAAAAUAAGACUGGGUCUUAUUUCAAUUUUCUUCCAAAAAAUACCUCAUUUUCGGGGGAUGUCUUAUAUUGUCAUUUAUCAAAAACAAAAUUACAAAGUCGAGAAUUACGAGAUUUUCGAAUAUACCAAAUGUGAAAACCGAUAUCCAUUUACUUAUAAAUAACACAUUUUUAUUCAAAACAUAGAUUAUCAAUCAUUUAUUAACGUGUAGGAGAGAUUUCUUGCUAUCGACUUGGUCAAAAUAAAUCUCGCUAGGUCUUGUUUUAAGGGGAGGGCUAAUAU